rnacentral:rRNA from 1 species
UUCGCAAUGCCCGAAAGGGUGACAAUGCGACGCCGCGUGAGCGAUGAAGGCCUUCGGGUUGUAAAGCUCUGUCAGCUGGGACGAAUAGCAAAGUGUUAAUAACAUUUUUGUCUGACGGUACCAGCAGAGGAAGCCACGGCUAACUCCGUGCCAGCAGCCGCGGUAAUACGGAGGUGGCAAGCGUUGUUCGGAUUUACUGGGUAUAAAGGUCAUGUAGGCGUCCUAUUAAGUCGGGUGUGAAAUCCCUUGGCUCAACCAAGGAACUGCGCCCGAUACUGGAAGGAUUGAGUACGAAAGAGGUAAGCGGAAUUCCGGAAGUAAGGGUGAAAUCUGUAGAUAUCCGGAAGAACACCAUUAGCGAAGGCAGUUUACUGGUUCGAUACUGACGCUGAAAUGAGAAAGCUAGGGGAGCAAACAGGAUUAGAUACCCUGGUAGUCCUAGCCGUAUACGAUGGGCACUAAGUAGAGGGGUUUU